CUCUAGUGCAUGCUUUUCUAAUCUAGAGAGAUAUAAACUAAGAACACGAGAUUCACACUCUCUAGAAAGAACAAUUGUACUAUAAGACUCAAUUUCACUUUGCUUAAGAAGAUCAAGAUGCAUUUGAUUAAUUUUAUUUUUCCCAAACUAGGUAUGUUAAAACAUUUGUAUCUUUACCAAAGAAGGGAAUUUUUCUAGCUUUAGUACACAAAUCAUCCUUAAUGUAUGAACUAGACAACCUAGAUGAAUAAAAAGACAUUUUUGUUUCUAAAAGUUUUCUUGUGUUACAACUACUUAGAUUUCACCAAAGAACAAAUUCCAGGUAAGGGAGGUGAACCACUAGGGUUGCUUAA
rnacentral:lncRNA from 1 species